CAUGUCUUUUUGAUAAUAAUUUAAAGUCUGACCUGCCCAAUGAAACGUUAAAUGGCCGCGAUAUCUUGAUCGUGCGAAGGUAGCAUAAUCAUUAGUUUUUUAAUUGAAAGCUGGAAUGAAUGGUUGGACAAGAAAUAAUCUGUCUCAAAUUUAAUUGAUAGAAUUUUAUUUUUAAGUUAAAAAGCUUAAAUUUAUAUUAAAGACGAGAAGACCCUAUAGAGUUUAAUAAAAAUUAUGAUUUAUUAUAAAAAGAAUAAAUUAGAAUAAUUAAAAUUUUUAUUUGGUUGGGGUGACAAAAAAAUUGAAUUAACUUUUUUUAAGUAUUAUAUAUAGAUAAGUAAAUGUUUGAUCCAAAAUUUUUGAUUAAAAGAUUAAAUUACCUUAGGGAUAACAGCGUAAUUUCUUUUGAGAGUUCAAAUUAAAAAAGAAGUUUGCGACCUCGAUGUUGGAUUAAAAUAAAUUCUUGGUGUAGAAGCUUAGAAAUUUAGUCUGUUCGACUAUUAAAAUUUUACAUGAUCUGAGU
rnacentral:rRNA from 1 species